UACGGAGGGUGCAAGCGUUAAUCGGAAUUACUGGGCGUAAAGCGUGCGCAGGCGGUUAUUUAAGUCAGGUGUGAAAGCCCUGGGCUUAACCUAGGAAUUGCGCUUGAGACUGGAUAGCUUGGAGUGCGGCAGAGGGAGGUGGAAUUCCACGUGUAGCAGUGAAAUGCGUAGAGAUGUGGAGGAACACCGAUGGCGAAGGCAGCCUCCUGGGCCAGCACUGACGCUCAUGCACGAAAGCGUGGGGAGCAAACAGG
rnacentral:rRNA from 1 species